rnacentral:rRNA from 1 species
GUGGGGAAUCUUAGACAAUGGGGGCAACCCUGAUCUAGCCAUGCCGCGUGAGUGAUGAAGGCCUUAGGGUCGUAAAGCUCUUUCGCUGGGGAAGAUAAUGACGGUACCCAGUAAAGAAACCCCGGCUAACUCCGUGCCAGCAGCCGCGGUAAUACGGAUGGGGUUAGCGUUGUUCGGAAUUACUGGGCGUAAAGCGCGCGUAGGCGGAUUGGAAAGUUGGGGGUGAAAUCCCGGGGCUCAACCCUGGAAUGGCCUUCAAAACUCCCAGUCUUGAGGUCGAGAGAGGUGAGUGGAAUUCCGAGUGUAGAGGUGAAAUUCGUAGAUAUUCGGAGGAACACCAGUGGCGAAGGCGGCUCACUGGCUCGAUACUGACGCUGGGGUGCGAAAGCGUGGGGAGCAAACAGGAUUAGAUACCCCGGUAGUCC